rnacentral:lncRNA from 1 species
CAAAAUUAUACAACUGUAUAUUUACAAUGUUAGAUUUUAUGGUGUACAAAUUACAUCUUAGUAAAGCUGUUUUCAUUUACUUACUGUUUUAGCACAAAUAUAUAAAGAACUUGGGAAUUGUCAUUCCCAUCUUUACAACAAGAAAAAUGCAGAACAAAUUAAGGGUCAAUGACUUGUUUUAUAGUAUCCAUAAAGAUCUGAACUUUUUAAGAUCCACAGAGAUUGUGGGUGAAGACCAUCUCUGAAAUCUGGAGAAACAGGCAAAUACAGAAAAUUGCAGCUGAAACAAAAUCUCUUGAAGUCAUAAACUGCCAUGUGAAGACAGACACCUGCUCACGCUUUUCCUUCCACCAUGAUUGUAAGUUUCCUGAGACCACCCCAGAAGCAGAUGCUGCCUUGCUUCCUGUACAGUCUGCAGAACUGUGAGCCAAUUAUUUGGUGUUAUACAAUUACUUUCAAUGGCAAAAACCACACACAUGUGAUAAUUUUAAGAUAGUGUUCAGAGUUCUGAAUAAAAUGGAUGUUAACUCUUAAAGAGUACUUGAAAAAAGCUGCCACAGUUUAAAAUCGAGAUAAGGGUAUGAGGGAAUGCAUCUCUGAGAAGGGGACAUUGAAGCUGAAACUUUAAUGUUAAAAUGUCUUAUAAAUAUUGAGUAUACUGAUGGCUUCGUGGGAGAAUUAAUAAGUCAAACUCAUCAAAUUAUACACUUAAAUAUGUAUUAUUUAUUGUAUGUCAAUUAUAUCUCAGUAAUACUGUUUUAUAAAAAGGUUGAUCCAGAAAAUUCCUUAGGCAUUUUCAAAGAUGCUUCUGUAAGGGGAAAAUAAGCUGAUUGUUGUCACAUAGGAUGAUCUUGGGAAUGGCCAGGCAGGCAUGCUUCCUAAGCUGACAGAUACCAGCCAUGAUCUCUUGGUCUGUGUCCCCAUGGGCUGUUAGAGAAGCUCCAUCCGAUGGCAUUUGUCAAUUCAUCUCUCUGUGUGUCCAUCUCUGUUUCCCUGGGUCUUCCCUGAAUUUAAUUCAAGUACCACUAAAGGUGGGGUCUCACCUGGAGCUGUGGUAGUUCAUAGAUUGUUCUGUGACUGCAUUUAAGACAUG